rnacentral:rRNA from 1 species
GCCAGACUCCUACGGGAGGCAGCAGUGGGGAAUAUUGGGCAAUGGGCGCAAGCCUGACCCAGCAACGCCGCGUGAAGGAAGAAGGCUUUCGGGUUGUAAACUUCUUUUGUCAGGGACGAAGCAAGUGACGGUACCUGACGAAUAAGCCACGGCUAACUACGUGCCAGCAGCCGCGGUAAUACGUAGGUGGCAAGCGUUAUCCGGAUUUACUGGGUGUAAAGGGAGCGCAGACGGCAGUGCAAGUCUGGAGUGAAAGCCCGGGGCCCAACCUCGGGACUGCUCUGGAAACUGUACGGCUGGAGUACGGGAGGGGCAGGCGGAAUUCCUAGUGUAGCGGUGAAAUGCGUAGAUAUUAGGAGGAACACCGGCGGCGAAGGCGGCCUGCUGGACCGAAACUGACGUUGAGGCUCGAAAGCGUGGGGAGCUAACAGGAUUAGAUACCCCAGUAGA